GAUGAACGCUGGCGGCGUGCCUAAUACAUGCAAGUCGAGCGAACAGACGAGGAGCUUGCUCCUCUGACGUUAGCGGCGGACGGGUGAGUAACACGUGGAUAACCUACCUAUAAGACUGGGAUAACUUCGGGAAACCGGAGCUAAUACCGGAUAAUAUAUUGAACCGCAUGGUUCAAUAGUGAAAGACGGUUUUGCUGUCACUUAUAGAUGGAUCCGCGCCGCAUUAGCUAGUUGGUAAGGUAACGGCUUACCAAGGCGACGAUGCGUAGCCGACCUGAGAGGGUGAUCGGCCACACUGGAACUGAGACACGGUCCAGACUCCUACGGGAGGCAGCAGUAGGGAAUCUUCCGCAAUGGGCGAAAGCCUGACGGAGCAACGCCGCGUGAGUGAUGAAGGUCUUCGGAUCGUAAAACUCUGUUAUUAGGGAAGAACAAAUGUGUAAGUAACUAUGCACGUCUUGACGGUACCUAAUCAGAAGGCCGCGGCUAACUACGUG
rnacentral:rRNA from 1 species